rnacentral:rRNA from 1 species
UACGAAGGGGGCUAGCGUUGCUCGGAAUUACUGGGCGUAAAGCGCACGUAGGCGGCUUUCUAAGUCGGGGGUGAAAUCCUGGAGCUCAACUCCAGACUGCCUUCGAUACUGGAGAGCUCGAGUCCGGGAGAGGUGAGUGGAACUGGCGAGUGUAGAGGUGAAAUUCGUAGAUAUUCGCAAGAACACCAGUGGCGAAGGCGGCUCACUGGCCCGGUACUGACGCUGAGUGCGAAAGCGUGGGGAGCAAACAGGAU